AUUGAACGCUGGCGGCAUGCCUUACACAUGCAAGUCAAACGGUAACAGGUUGAGCUGACGAGUGGCGAACGGGUGAGUAAUGUAUCGGAACGUGCCCAGUCGUGGGGGAUAACUACUCGAAAGAGUGGCUAAUACCGCAUACGACCUGAGGGUGAAAGCGGGGGACCGUAAGGCCUCGCGCGAUUGGAGCGGCCGAUAUCAGAUUAGCUAGUUGGUGGGGUAAAAGCCCACCAAGGCGACGAUCUGUAGCUGGUCUGAGAGGACGACCAGCCACACUGGGACUGAGACACGGCCCAGACUCCUACGGGAGGCAGCAGUGGGGAAUUUUGGACAAUGGACGCAAGUCUGAUCCAGCCAUGCCGCGUGCGGGAAGAAGGCCUUCGGGUUGUAAACCGCUUUUGUCAGGGAAGAAACGAGUUUCUCUAAUACAGAGACUUAAUGACGGUACCUGGAGAAUAAGCACCGGCUAACUACGUGCCAGCCGCCGCCGUAAAAC
rnacentral:rRNA from 1 species